ensembl:lncRNA
AUGGACAGCACGGUUGUUAUAUCGCCUGAUAAACAAUUACAGCGCUAUUUUGGCUCCCUAAGUAAGUGUAUGACUGGGUAUUUGGUUGAAAGGAUGUCCAGCUGUUUGUCUCGAUCCCAUACAAUCACGGCGUACGAAGCACAGAUUAUCACAUCCCAGCCCACGGACAUGCAGAAAGCCUCCAGGCUGAUGCAGAUUGUCAUUAAAAAAGGUCAAAGUGCUUGCAGUUCGUUCCUCGCAUGCCUUGGAAUUUGUGACCCGGUGUUGUAUGAGAAUGUUACUGGAUUCCCAGCACAAUUUAAUGAAGAGGACCAUCAACAUGUAGAGCAAGUUCCUCUCUCAGAAAAAUUGCAAUUUACACCUUGUAUUAUAAACAUAAAAAACUCUUCCCUGACCAACUGUAUUAUUGGGAACAACAAUCGCCAAUGCAUUACCUGUGACCAGCAUUCUUUGCUCGCUCAGAAUGAUGCAAGUGAUGUGAAUGAAAUGCCGGAUAUUCAGAGCAGUGAUCAACUGAUCCCGGUGCAGGACACAAUAAGUGUCAACAGCGUUCACAUGGAGAGAUCCAACAUAGAGUAUGUUAUUAUAGGUGACCAUAACAGUAUGACAGUCACUGAGAACUCAGAGGCUGAGGAGGAUACGGAGACUGAGCCAGAAGUGAUUGGUUAACAGACUCACAGUUUUGGAGAGCUGCAGAUUGUCACCUCACCUUACCGGGCCUGACCUAUAAUUGGACACUGAAAGCAUAAUAUAUGCUUUAAACUGACCAGUGCUCAGGUCUUCAGCAGGUGCUGCCAAACGCACUGAAACAUUAUCCUUUAUCGUGGAUUUUUCUAAACCUGUGUGCCUUGAGGUGGCAAUGAUAUUUGAUACUGCCUUGAUUGUUACUGAACAUGACUGCUACUGACUGUUUCUCAUGUUUUAAUGGGUACACACAUAUUUAUUUGUUCAACAGAAAUGUAUGAAAGCAAAUAUGUUGACAGACAUUGCAAACAUUGCAAGUCUUUUAUAAGCUUAAGCUUUCUGUAAUGAUACGUA